rnacentral:rRNA from 1 species
GAGUUUGAUCCUGGCUCAGGACGAACGCUGGCGGCGCGCUUAAUACAUGCAAGUCGAGCGAGAACCAUGGCUUCGGCCAUGGGGACAGCGGCGAACGGGUGAGUAACACGUGGGUAAUCAACCCCCGACACCGGGAUAGCCCAGGGAAACUUGGAUUAAUACCGGAUACCCCAUCUGGCUUUCGAGCCGGCUGGAAAAGGGUAGCUUCGGCCUCCGGUCGGGGACGAGCCCGCGGCGGAUUAGCUUGUUGGUGAGGUAAGAGCUCACCAAGGCGACGAUCCGUAGCUGGUCUGAGAGGACGAUCAGCCACACUGGGACUGAGACACGGCCCAGACUCCUACGGGAGGCAGCAGUAGGGAAUCUUGCGCAAUGGGCGAAAGCCUGACGCAGCGACGCCGCGUGAGGGAAGAAGGCCUUAGGGUUGUAAACCUCUUUCAGGAGGGACGAAGCCACUCAGGUUAAUAGCCGAGAGGGUGACGGUACCUCCAGAAGAAGCCCCGGCUAACUACGUGCCAGCAGCCGCGGUAAUACGUAGGGGGCAAGCGUUGUCCGGAUUUAUUGGGCGUAAAGAGCGUGUAGGCGGCCAGAUAUGUGGGUUGUGAAAACUGGAGGCUUAACCUUCAGACGUCGACCCAAACUAUCUGGCUAGAGUCCGGAAGAGGAGAGUGGAAUUCCUGGUGUAGCGGUGAAAUGCGCAGAUAUCAGGAAGAACACCCGUGGCUAAGGCGGCUCUCUAGUACGGUACUGACGCUGAGACGCGAAAGCGUGGGGAGCGAACAGGAUUAGAUACCCUGGUAGUCCACGCCGUAAACGAUGGGUGCUAGGUGUGGGGGGUGUCGACUCCCUCCGUGCCGAAGCUAACGCAUUAAGCACCCCGCCUGGGGAGUACGGCCGCAAGGCUAAAACUCAAAGAAAUUGACGGGGGCCCGCACAAGCGGUGGAGUAUGUGGCUUAAUUCGAUGCAACGCGAAAAACCUUACCUACCCUUGACAUGUCAAGAAUUUCGCAGAGAUGUGGAAGUGCUCGAAAGAGAACUUGAACACAGGUGCUGCAUGGCCGUCGUCAGCUCGUGUCGUGAGAUGUUGGGUUAAGUCCCGCAACGAGCGCAACCCUUGUCAUUAGUUGCUACGAAAGGGCACUCUAAUGAGACUGCCGGUGACAAACCGGAGGAAGGUGGGGAUGACGUCAGGUCCUCAUGGCCCUUAUGGGUAGGGCUACACACGUCAUACAAUGGCCGGUACAGAGGGCUGCCAACCCGCGAGGGGGAGCCAAUCCCAGAAAACCGGUCGUAGUCCGGAUCGCAGUCUGCAACUCGACUGCGUGAAGUCGGAAUCGCUAGUAAUCGCGGAUCAGCUUGCCGCGGUGAUACGUUCCCGGGUCUUGCACACAC